UAACACAUAAUGUGUGAUAAGCUUUUUAUGUUUUUGUUGCCCGUUAAUUUUUAACAUGUUUUAAAAACUCAUUGACACAAGUGUCAAAUUCCAGUCAAACAAUAAUCAUCCAUCACAUUUUGCAUUUAGCAUGAAAAAAAGAUCUCAGUUGCACAAGAACGAUGAACUGGUUCCACAGAAAAUAUUAACAGCCAAACCGAGAUGUGGAACUCAAAAAUUAUUAGAGAAAAUACGCGCAGCCAAAGAUGAAGAAAAGUUGUCUGUCAAGUUGGAUAGAUAUGAUGAAUGGAUGAAGAAAUCUAAUUUUUUCAAAAUUAUGCGAAUUGCGCGCAAGAAGAAAAUGUAACUUCAAUAUCAGGGAAGAUAAGUGUUAUUUUCACAAGAAAUUAUAGUGACGACUAUUUAUUCGAAGAUUAACAAUGGCUGUAAUACUUUUAAAUUAUAGAUUUUGUAACUUCUGAAACUGGAAUUAAACAUUAUUAGCAAGAUUAA